rnacentral:rRNA from 1 species
UACAGAGGUCCCGAGCGUUGUUCGGAUUCACUGGGCGUAAAGGGUGCGUAGGUGGCAUGGUAAGUUUGAUGUGAAAGCUCAGGGCUCAACCCUGAAAUGGCAUUGGAUACUACUGUGCUGGAGGUUUGGAGGGGGGACUGGAAUUCUUGGUGUAGCAGUGAAAUGCGUAGAUAUCGUGAGGAACACCAGAGGCGAAGGCGGCUACCUGGACAAUUGCUGACACUCAGGCACGAAAGCGUGGGGAGCAAAAGGG